UUAAGUACUCACUAUUUCGGAAUAACUAAAUAUAUACCUAACACAUAAUAUAUUAUAUUAUUUAAUAAAUAUAAAUUAUGGACAGCUUCUCAAAAUGAUAUAGGUACAUUCGAUAAAUCUCAGUAACGCGUGCGUUCAUCAUCGGACAUCCGGUCGAGCUGUUAUCGGUUGUAUAUUGAAACUAUUGUGAAGGUCGUACAAAAUAUAUUACAAAAAUCAUCACAAUAAUAGCCAUGUAACAGCCGCCUAGUAGAAAUGUUUCACGUCUUACAAUAAUACAUGAGCCACAUUAAUCUGUGAUUUACCGAGUCCAUUGGAAAAAGGACUAAAUAAAUCCUGCAUGAGCGAAAAAUCAAAAUUAAAUGCAUAAAUUGUCACAUUUAAAUUUAAUUGUUUUCACUUGGUAGUUACUAUUUCAAUCAUCACGUGGUGUCUUUUUAAUAAGCCGUGACAUUGACGUGUACACAUUUAACACAGUAGACACAUACCUCAACUGUACUUAAAGGUUGUACGAGAUCGACUGAAAGUCAUCGUACUAUGCGUUUUUCGUAAGUCGUAACUCGGCAUAGACGGAAAUCUCACGUCCAAUUCAAAUAACAAUAACCAUAUAUAUCUAUACACUCGAUACAUUACUAG